CGUGAGGCCAAGCCUGUCCGGUUCACCAGGGGUCCCCAGUGCCCAGCACAUGCUAGUACAGAAGAAGACUGAGCAGAGUGUGGCUGCUUUUGAUCCUGGUGUGUCUCCGGUUAACAAGUUUAUUCACACAAUUGUAUUGGGACAACAGAGAUUUCCAUACUGAGAGUCUUCAGGGAACACUAAUAACUUGGCGGGGAAACAGAAAGAAGAAACCCUUUUAUUCUCCUCCAUGCACAGU